CAGGAUGAACGCUAGCGACAGGCCUAACACAUGCAAGUCGAGGGGCAGCGACAAGGAGCAAUCUGAGGUGGCGACCGGCGCACGGGUGAGUAACACGUAUGCAACCUGCCUGUAAGCGGGGAAUAACCCGUUGAAAGACGGACUAAUACCGCAUAAUACUAAAUUACUGCAUGGUAAUUUAUUUAAACAUUUAUGGCUUACAGAUGGGCAUGCGCAUGAUUAGCUAGUUGGAGAGGUAACGGCUCCCCAAGGCAACGAUCAUUAGGGGUUCUGAGAGGAAGGUCCCCCACACUGGUACUGAGACACGGACCAGACUCCUACGGGAGGCAGCAGUGAGGAAUAUUGGUCAAUGGACGAGAGUCUGAACCAGCCAAGUCGCGUGCAGGAAGAAUGUCCUAAUGGAUUGUAAACUGCUUUUGCAGGGGAAUAAAGUGCAUCACGUGUGAUGUUUUGUAUGUACUCUGCGAAUAAGGAUCGGCUAACUCCGUGCCAGCAGCUGC
rnacentral:rRNA from 1 species